rnacentral:rRNA from 1 species
GACGAACGCUGGCGGCGUGCUUAACACAUGCAAGUCGAGCGAGAAUCUACUGAAAGAGUUUUCGGACAAUGGAUGUAGAGGAAAGUGGCGGACGGGUGAGUAAUGCGUGAGGAACCUGCCUUGAAGAGGGGGACAACAGUUGGAAACGACUGCUAAUACCGCAUGAAGCAUAGGGGUCGCAUGAUUCUUAUGCCAAAGAUUUAUCGCUUCAAGAUGGCCUCGCGUCUGAUUAGCUAGUUGGCGGGGUAACGGCCCACCAAGGCGACGAUCAGUAGCCGGACUGAGAGGUUGAACGGCCACAUUGGGACUGAGAUACGGCCCAGACUCCUACGGGAGGCAGCAGUGGGGAAUAUUGGGCAAUGGGCGCAAGCCUGACCCAGCAACGCCGCGUGAAGGAAGAAGGCUUUCGGGUUGUAAACUUCUUUUAAGAGGGAAGAGCAGAAGGCGGUACCUCUAGAAUAAGCCACGGCUAACUACGUGCCAGCAGCCGCGGUAA